rnacentral:rRNA from 1 species
GGGAACUGAAACAUCUAAGUACCCCGAGGAAAAGAAAUCAACCGAGAUUCCCCCAGUAGCGGCGAGCGAACGGGGAGCAGCCCAGAGCCUGAAUCAGUGUGUGUGUUAGUGGAAGCGUCUGGAAAGGCGCGCGAUACAGGGUGACAGCCCCGUACACAAAAAUGCACAUGCUGUGAGCUCGAUGAGUAGGGCGGGACACGUGGUAUCCUGUCUGAAUAUGGGGGGACCAUCCUCCAAGGCUAAAUACUCCUGACUGACCGAUAGUGAACCAGUACCGUGAGGGAAAGGCGAAAAGAACCCCGGCGAGGGGAGUGAAAAAGAACCUGAAACCGUGUACGUACAAGCAGUGGGAGCACGCUUCGGCGUGUGACUGCGUACCUUUUGUAUAAUGGGUCAGCGACUUAUAUUCUGUAGCAAGGUUAACCGAAUAGGGGAGCCGAAGGGAAACCGAGUCUUAACUGGGCGUUAAGUUGCAGGGUAUAGACCCGAAACCCGGUGAUCUAGCCAUGGGCAGGUUGAAGGUUGGGUAACACUAACUGGAGGACCGAACCGACUAAUGUUGAAAAAUUAGCGGAUGACUUGUGGCUGGGGGUGAAAGGCCAAUCAAACCGGGAGAUAGCUGGUUCUCCCCGAAAGCUAUUUAGGUAGCGCCUCGUGAAUUCAUCUCCGGGGGUAGAGCACUGUUUCGGCAAGGGGGUCAUCCCGACUUACCAACCCGAUGCAAACUGCGAAUACCGGAGAAUGUUAUCACGGGAGACACACGGCGGGUGCUAACGUCCGUCGUGAAGAGGGAAACAACCCAGACCGCCAGCUAAGGUCCCAAAGUCAUGGUUAAGUGGGAAACGAUGUGGGAAGGCCCAGACAGCCAGGAUGUUGGCUUAGAAGCAGCCAUCAUUUAAAGAAAGCGUAAUAGCUCACUGGUCGAGUCGGCCUGCGCGGAAGAUGUAACGGGGCUAAACCAUGCACCGAAGCUGCGGCAGCGACACUAUGUGUUGUUGGGUAGGGGAGCGUUCUGUAAGCCUGUGAAGGUGUACUGUGAGGUAUGCUGGAGGUAUCAGAAGUGCGAAUGCUGACAUAAGUAACGAUAAAGCGGGUGAAAAGCCCGCUCGCCGGAAGACCAAGGGUUCCUGUCCAACGUUAAUCGGGGCAGGGUGAGUCGACCCCUAAGGCGAGGCCGAAAGGCGUAGUCGAUGGGAAACAGGUUAAUAUUCCUGUACUUGGUGUUACUGCGAAGGGGGGACGGAGAAGGCUAUGUUGGCCGGGCGACGGUUGUCCCGGUUUAAGCGUGUAGGCUGGUUUUCCAGGCAAAUCCGGAAAAUCAAGGCUGAGGCGUGAUGACGAGGCACUACGGUGCUGAAGCAACAAAUGCCCUGCUUCCAGGAAAAGCCUCUAAGCAUCAGGUAACAUCAAAUCGUACCCCAAACCGACACAGGUGGUCAGGUAGAGAAUACCAAGGCGCUUGAGAGAACUCGGGUGAAGGAACUAGGCAAAAUGGUGCCGUAACUUCGGGAGAAGGCACGCUGAUAUGUAGGUGAAGCGACUUGCUCGUGGAGCUGAAAUCAGUCGAAGAUACCAGCUGGCUGCAACUGUUUAUUAAAAACACAGCACUGUGCAAACACGAAAGUGGACGUAUACGGUGUGACGCCUGCCCGGUGCCGGAAGGUUAAUUGAUGGGGUUAGCG